UACGAAGGGGGCUAGCGUUGCUCGGAUUGACUGGGCGUAAAGGGCGCGUAGGCGGUUCGUACAGUCAGACGUGAAAUUCCUGGGCUCAACCUGGGGGCUGCGUUUGAUACGUGCGGACUUGAGUGCGGAAGAGGGUCGUGGAAUUCCCAGUGUAGAGGUGAAAUUCGUAGAUAUUGGGAAGAACACCGGUGGCGAAGGCGGCGACCUGGACCGAUACUGACGCUGAGGCGCGAAAGCGUGGGGAGCAAACAGG
rnacentral:rRNA from 1 species